AGAGUUUGAUCCUGGCUCAGGAUGAACGCUGGCGGCGUGCUUAACACAUGCAAGUCGAACGAAGCAAUCUAACGGAAGUUUUCGGAUGGAAGCUAGAUUGACUGAGUGGCGGACGGGUGAGUAACGCGUGGGUAACCUGCCUCACACUGGGGGACAACAGUUAGAAAUGACUGCUAAUACCGCAUAAGCGCACGGGAUCGCAUGGUCCAGUGUGAAAAACUCCGGUGGUGUGAGAUGGACCCGCGUUUGAUUAGCUAGUUGGUGGGAUAACGGCCUACCAAGGCGACGAUCAAUAGCCGACCUGAGAGGGUGACCGGCCACAUUGGGACUGAGACACGGCCCAAACUCCUACGGGAGGCAGCAGUGGGGAAUAUUGCACAAUGGGGGAAACCCUGAUGCAGCGACGCCGCGUGAGUGAAGAAGUAUUUCGGUAUGUAAAGCUCUAUCAGCAGGGAAGAAAAUGACGGUACCUGACUAAGAAGCCCCGGCUAACUACGUGCCAGCAGCCGCGGU
rnacentral:rRNA from 1 species